GCAGGUGAAAACAUACUUCUCGCUGACGAAUGUAAACAAUCUCACUCAAAACAUUCAGAAAAUACUACAAAAAGACUACACACACAUUUCUUUAGCUGUAAAACACACAAAAACAAUCAAAAAGUUGUACCCCAUGGUUAAAGCCAUUACACCGAAAGAACAACAGUCAUAUGUUAUUUACAAAAUAUCGUGCAAAGAAUGUGAAGGUGUAUACGUAGGUUUGACAACAACACACUUAAGUUUACGUACUGCAAAUCACAAAACAUAUCAAAACAAAGUGAGAAAACUGAGGGAACAGGGAUACAUUGAAGAAGACGGCCAAAUGAGAGAGAUACAGGGAAAAUCUGCACUUGUGAGCCAUUGUAUCACUAAAAAACACGAAUUUGACAUUGAAAACACAACAAUAUUAGACAGAACAAACUCUCUGAAAAAGCUUAAAUUUUUGGAAAUGUGCCACAUAAGAAACACACCACACACCGUUAACAAAAAACAGGACACAGAAAAUUUGAACAUAGUUUAUGCCGGUAUACUCCACAAUAUCAAAAUAUUGUACACUCCUAGUCAGAACCAAUAGCCAAAACAAACACGGAAAAACACACUAAUACUACAACAUCUCUGUAACACACUCACACAUGGGUAGGGGGGUACUGUCAAUAAUUGUCGCUACCAAGAAAGUGGUGGCUACCAAUACGAGCUUGAUACGAAAAGGGAAAGUACAACACGAAAAGUACCGCGUAAACAAGCUCGGGUUCCACUGUCCAAAUUGACCGUUGGUUUUUAUCCAGAUUACCCGGAUGAAUACCAAUCAGAAACAACAAACGACACUAACGACAGUUAACACUUUGACUAAAACUACACUGGACGAGAAACAAUCCUUCUUAAUUCCCUGAAGAAGACCCCAUAGAGGGUUGAAACGUUGGAUACGAGAAAAUAAGCGUUGUUUCGAAUUUUCCCGCCAAGACCGAAAAGCCGAAAACCUAACCUA